GCGUUGUCCGGAAUCAUUGGGCGUAAAGAGCGCGUAGGCGGCCAGAUAAGUCCGGUGUGAAAGUCACAGGCUCAACCUGUGAAUGCCGCUGGAAACUGUCUGGCUAGAGUCCGGGAGGGGCGAGUGGAAUUCCUGGUGUAGCGGUGAAAUGCGCAGAUAUCAGGAGGAACACCAAUGGCGAAGGCAGCUCGCUGGAACGGUACUGACGCUGAGGCGCGAAAGCGUG
rnacentral:rRNA from 1 species